UCAACUUGGGGAAGAGAGAGUUUACUUGGCUUGCAGAUCACAAUCCAUCACUGAGGGAAGCCAAGGAAGGACCUCAGGCAGGGCAAGAACCUGGAGGGAGGAAUUGCAUCAAAGACCAAGGAGAUGUAGAUCAUCACCUCCUUAAAACAAGACAACUCCAGAGCCCCCGGACCACUUUCACAGAUGAUGCCGAGUCACUGAGCUGCACUGCUCUCCUGAUGCAGACCCUCUGCUCCCCUCGAGCGUCUAUAUACUUUCUCCCAAUCAAUAAAGUAAACUCAAUG
rnacentral:lncRNA from 1 species